rnacentral:rRNA from 1 species
AGCAGCCGCGGUAAUUCCAGCUCCAAUAGCGUAUAUUAAAGUUGUUGCAGUUAAAAAGCUCGUAGUUGAAUUUCGGGGUUCUUCCGUUGGUCAGGCUAACAAGUCUGUACUAGCGUGUAGAAUUCCUACCUUCUGGGGAACCAUCAUGUUAUUAAUUUAGCGUGGUGGGAAACCAGGACCCUUACCUUGAAAAAAUUAGAGUGUUCAAAGCAGGCUUACGUCUGAAUACAUUAGCAUGGAAUAAUAAAAUAGGACGGUGGUCCUGUUUUGUUGGUUUCUGAAUCACCGUAAUGAUUAAUAGGGAUAGUUGGGGGCAUUAGUAUUCAAUUGUCAGAGGUGAAAUUCUUGGAUUUAUUGAAGACUAACUUCUGCGAAAGCAUUUGCCAAGGAUGUUUUCUAUUAAUCAAGAACGAAGUUAAGGGAGUCGAGACGAUCAGAUACCGUCGUAGUCUUAACCA